ACGGUGACGUUAACCUGCGUUAUGUCCAAUCUUCCUUCUGGAGUCAACGUCACCUGGAGACAAGAAAAGAAGCCUCUGAAAUCAGAGAUUGCUGAGCAGCCUGGACAGAAUCCCGACAGCGUGAUCAGCAAAUUAGACAUUUCUACUGAAGCCUGGCUGAGUGGCGUUACUUUUGAAUGUGUGGUGUACCAUCAGAAUCUACCGACUCCACUGAGACACUCCAUCCACAAGGAGAAAGUGAUUAAUCCGCUGGAGCCAUCAGUGUCGGUCCUCCUGCCACCAACAGAAGAAAUCUCCGCUCAGAGGUUUCUCUCCCUCACCUGUUCAGUGAGAGGUUUCUUCCCCCGAGAGAUCUUCGUCAAGUGGACAAACCGGUGAAUUCCAGUAACUACAAGAACACCGAGGUGAUGGGGGAGAGUGACAACACCUCCUUCUUCAUCUACAGCCUGUUAUCCAUUACAGCGGAGGAGUGGGCCAGCGGUGCUUCUUACUCCUGUGUGGUGGGGCAUGAAGUGAUUCCAUUGAAGAUCAUCAACAGAACAGUCGAUAAAUCCAGCGGUAAACCGAGUUUUGUAAACAUUUCACUUGCACUGAUGGACACUGUUAAUUCAUGUCAAUAAAAAUCUCAAAGUUGCAUUUAA